ACAUAAAGUAUCUUUGACCUUUCCUCGGUCAAAGAUACUUUUAAUUACCUUUUUCAUAUGUUGCUAACACCUGUCCAAAUUUUAAUUAAAUUUAUAAUUAUUAUAUUGUUUUUACUCUAUUGAUCUUUAUAUAUAUUUUUUAAAAUAUAAAGAUAUCAUUAUCAUCUUCUAUUAUGUUAUUCUCAUCCUUCUCUCUUAAAUUUUCUCUCUCUAACCCUCUCCCGACUCAGACUUGUUUGGGUGGGCUCCGCACCGCGCCAUUCCCGGCACAGCGACAACCCCUUUUGUCGACGAUGUAUCCCUUCCGUUUUUCUUCUUUCAGCUUCCUUUUCCUCUUCCCCACCUUCGCUUACGUCCUCGUCCUCCAACCCGCAGUUUGUGAGCCAUCGCCCCCUACUCUGCUUCUCUUUGUGCUUCAAUUCGUGAUGGCUCCUCUUCUUCCUUGCAGCAAGGCUUCGUCUGUUUCAUCCCGGAGUUGUUUGCUUGGGCUUCCCGCCGUCUUUCUUCGAUGGUCCGCGUGGUGGAGUUCUCAGGACAGUGGUUGGGUGGUUUUUCUUGUUGUGGUGCGUCCCUAGUUGUGGGUCGUUCCUUUUGAGCAGUGACGAAGGGUGGGCUCAGACUUGCUUCGUAUGGCGGUGGCGGUAACCUAUAUCAUUUGUGAUUGUCUUAUUUUCUCCUUCUAUGUGUGGUUCUAGUUAUGUGGAGUGAUCUUUUGUGUUGUGGCGCUUGGAUUAGUUUAUGCGACACUCCUUUUAGCUCUUUUUGCUUUUGGUCAGGCGAGGCAUGGUUGAUUUGAGUCGAUGUAGAGCCCGGUUUGUGUUUGGGUUUUCAGAUGCCCCUGCUACCAUGGUUCGUGCUGUGAAGAUGUUUGCUGGAUCCGUUUUGGUCGAUCUUAUCGUCACUUCUGUUUCUUGUUUUUUGAGGCCUUGGAUGGUUAUUCUUUUUUGUUCCUGUUUGCUUAGGCUUUGGGUCCCAGCUAUAUGGAGUGUGGUUCUCUGAUCCUAUUGGGUCUUUUUGUUUUGCACUACUAGUUGGAUCUUUGUUUCAA